UGGAAGGCCAUAGUUCAAGGGUAAAAUAUAUGCUUUGCAUGCAAGUGGUCCCAGGUUCAAUCCCUUGCCCCUGAA
rnacentral:tRNA from 1 species